rnacentral:rRNA from 1 species
AAGCUUAAGUAGUAGUAGUUAUAAUCUUAAAACUUAAAGAAUUUGGCGGUAUUUUAAUCUUUUUAGAGGAACCUGUUCUUUAAUCGAUAUUCCACGUUGAAUUUUACUAAUUUGUUUGUAUACCGUUGUCGAAAGAAUAAAUGUUCUAAUAUUUUUAUUUAAUAAGAUGUCAAAUCAAGGUGCAGUUUAUAAAUUAGUAGAAAUGGGUUACAAUAAAUUUAUUUAGGAUUAUUAUAAAGGUGGAUUUAAAAGUAAAUUAAUUUUAAUAUAAUUAAUUGAUUAUAGUUCUAAAAUAUGU